GUAGAAAUGACACUAGCUGUAAUUAAAUCCCUAUCAUUUUAGAAAUGGACAAUCCUAAAUUGCCACUUUUGUUUUCCCAAGCAAGAGUUUCCUCCUAUGAGUGCCUUGCUUCACUAACAUAUCUAAAUGUCUCUGUGUUUUCUAGUGCCCAUUUGCUCAAGCCACUAUCUGCUCUUCCUUGGAUUAUGACAGAAGCCCCUUAACUGAUGUCUUCAAUCCUCUCAGACCUUUUCAGAUCUGUUCUUAUUACAACAACUUCAAAAACUCAGAUGUGGAAACUCAAAUAAAGAGAGGUGAAAGAGUCCCCAGGACAACACAAAAAGGUGACAGAGCCACUGAAUUUAAAUCCACACCCUCUAAUUCAAGGUUAGUUCUCUUCUUGGUAACUGCUGUUUCCAAUAGUUUCAUGGAAACCACAAAAUAUUUUCUAAUUUAUCCUAAAUAUUUUAAAUAUUUUCAUGACAUUCUUUACUCCAAUGUAUAAUUACCCUCUUUCCUGAAUUCUUAAACUCUCUUCACAUUUACUUAAGUAGCUUGAUAUUUAAAUUAUUUUUGUUUUUGUUUUUUUCAGUGAGACUGUAAGUUCCCAGGGUGAGAGCUGUGUCGAAGGUUCCGUUUUUUUCUUUCAAAAUAUCAUGUGCACUUACUGAUUCAUAAUAGGCAUUCAAUAAAAAUUUGCUGAAUCAAGAAAUCCAGAUAUUCUAUUUUAUUUCCCAUUGUCCUUCUCCUUCUCAUUUUGAGCUGUCUUCAUGUGUCAGGCACUAUACUUAGCACAAUUCAUACCUUAUCGCAUUUAAACACAAUUAUUAUCUACUUUUCUUACUUAAGAAAACUGAGACACAAAGACAUUGGGUUUAUUUUCACAAGGCCACAGAGCUUGAGCCUUCAUCAACCUGAUGCCAGAGCCCAACCUCUUAACCAUUACAGGAUUUUGUCUCAAGACCACCCAUCAAUGCGGUAAUGGGAUCUACAGUUGAACCCAAGAGCUCUGGGUUUUUGGCUGCCAGCCUCAUCAUUAGCCUCUCCACCAGGGGAAUUCAACCAGCCAAAAAGCUGUGCAUUCUCUCCCCAGUAUUUCCUUCCACCUAAGUUAGCACUGUAUUCCCCAGAGUCACUUUCCACCCUGGCACACAAACCACAAGUAAAAAAACCCGGAGCAUCAAACACCAACAUUAGCAGGAUAAAGACUCCAUCUAAUCAUCCUACUAUAUCAUCAGACUGAGUCUCCAGAAUUCUAACUCUCUUUCACUCCAUUCCCUCUGCCUCUCUUGAGGCUUUCAUUUGAGCCUUUCCCUCCCAACUAAAACCAGAUAUGUAAAGAUGGUAUUAUAUUUCUUCACAGCUAAUAGCCAGACUAUGAAAUCAUCCAGCAAGCAACUCCCAAGCCAUGUGAAUCAGUCGUAACACAUUUCCCUCAUUUUUAUAACCCUGGAGAUGGAAGAAGGGCCAGGAGGUAGAUGAAGGGGAGGGUUAUUGCCAGGUAUUGUUAACGUUUUCCCUGGGUAAUUGAAGUAGGAGCAGUCCAGGUCAGAUUAGAAGCAAGAUCUUCUUGGAAAAGCUAGGACAUAACAGGGACCUGGUAGACCCAUAUUGGAUUGAUUAUGAAGCAGGAAGUGAAAUCUGACAUGCCUGACACUUAACACCCUAACCACAUCCUGUCUCCUAGACGAUGAGAAUAAAGAUAUUGUAUAUUCAGUGGCACUGACAUUUUUAUGCCUCUUAAUGAAAAGGGAAACAACUUUCUGGGACUGGUUGAAAGGAUAAGGAAGCAGAGAACACCUUCACGGCCUUUAAGGAAGAUAGGGGAUUUGAGUAGGAAGUUGUAUAAGGAAGGAAACAUCAAGUCCUAUAUUUUGGGUGAAUAAAGCAAACUAAGUUGCGUCAGCCUGGGCAAAGAAUGCUUUGAGUGAGGAAAAAAAAUGAAACAGCAAUUGAAAACAGAAAAAUCCAGUAAUGAUUUCUUUAUUACCUGAAAUACUUGAGAUUUUUCAAUGUUUUCACUCUCAAGGUUUUCAACAAUUUUCAGAACUAAAGGUAUUUUAAAACUUGUAUUAAGUGUUGAUGGCUACUUGAGGAUGCAUGGGAUUGAAGCACUGCUGUAGGUGUCUAGCUUAAUAGCACAUCUUGAUCAAUAGAUGACAUUUUAUAAAUGCAGCUUGAGGAUUUCGACAGGUCCCUCUAAAUGACCCCCGUCAACAGCCCAGUCCACCUCCAAGUACCCUCUUCUAAACAACUGAAAAUAAGCAGAAAACAAUUUCUUGUUAUCGCUAGGAAGGAGAUAGUUCUAUUUCCCAAGUAAUCGGUUUCCAUGCAUAAGCAGCAAGAAAAUAUUCUUCUUGCCAUUCUGAACCUAAAUCAUUCUUGCUGUAAUAUAUGAUCAUUUUCUCAUAUUCCAUAUUAAAUAAAAGUGGAAAAUAGCUCAGUAUUUCUUUCAUUAUAAGGCUGUAGUUGACAUCAGUAGAUAAUAUCCAUUCUGCUGUCUUCAGAGGAGCGGAAAGACAGGUGAUUUUAUCCAACAUGGAACCACAGCCCCCAAACAUGAUGGAGCUGAGUAAAUCACUGGGUGGCCUGCCAGGAAUGACACCACAGGACUUGUCAUCAAUGGUGACAGCAACAAUAAUAUCUAGCACCUCAACAGCAUUGCAUAAUUUUGGAGAAUAUUUUUACAUAAAUCAUCAUAUUUGAUAGCC
ensembl:lncRNA